rnacentral:rRNA from 1 species
GCAUAACGCGAAGAACCUUACCAAGGCUUGACAUCCCCUUGACCGGCACAGAGAUGUGCCCUCUCCUUCGGGAGCAAGGGUGACAGGUGGUGCAUGGUUGUCGUCAGCUCGUUGUCGUGAGAUGUUGGGUUAAGUCCCGCAACGAGCGCAACCCUUAUCCUUAGUUGCCAGCAGGUAAAGCUGGGCACUCUAAGGAGACUGCCGAUGAUAAAUCGGAGGAAGGUGGGGAUGACGUCAAAUCAUCAUGCCCCUUAUGUCUUGGGCUACACACGUGCUACAAUGGUCGGUACAAAGGGGAGCGAAGGAGUGAUCUGGAGCAAAUCCCAAUAAACCGAUCUCAGUUCGGAUUGUAGGCUGCAACUCGCCUACAUGAAGUCGGAGUUGCUAGUAAUCGCGGAUCAGCAUGCCGCGGUGAAUACGUUCCCGGGUCUUGUACACACCG